AUGAAAGUACUCUUUUCCAUGAGAGAUAGGCGAGAUGUUAACUCUUUUUUAACACAGUAUGUUAAAAAGUCAAGGAAUAUGAUGAUGAUUUGCAUGUUUGAAUAUAAUGAAGUUGUGUUUUAUCUUCCAGCUCAGAGAGACCGUGAACCGACAGGAAGCCCAGAUUCAGCUGUUACAGAAACAGUUCGAGGAUCAGCAGAAGGAGAACGAGAGACUGUGGAGAGCCAUUCAGAGCCUCAGAGCAGAUGCUGGACUCGUGGACGCCGGUCAGAAGCAGGGUUCUGCUCCUCAGGAGUGAGAGAUCAGUGCACCCUGUUAUCAGUGCUUACAGCGAGUGUGUUCAGUGCUCAGUACAGACAGAUCGACGGGGUUUCCCUCGAACCUUUAGUGCCUUUUCAUAACCAGAGACUGUGUGAGUUCUGUCAUGCUGCUAAUGUCACGCCAGAGCGCUCCGUAUCUUCCAGUGUGUGACGGCACAGACAUAAACAGUGAGUGUUUAAUCUGGGAACAGCAGUUUAAUCGUUCAGUCCCUCCAGAAUGAAUGGGAGAAAAGUGUCAUAAACGUCGCUUCAGUCCACAUGGGCUUAACGCUUUCAUCUUUAACGUUUUCACAGCUGCUCUUUUAUAAUGAGAUGAAGUGCCUCGGUGUUAGUUUUUCUUCAGAGAGUCAGUGUUAAUGUCAUUCGUACAGUGUUUUGCGGUUGCGGUCUGUUAUUCUCACAGGUUUGGUCUUUCCUAUGCAAGCAGGUCAGGUGUGUUUCACUCGGAGACUCUUAUAAAGACACUUUAAAGCUACUCCGUGUGUGAAUGUGAUGUCAUCAGUGGACGGGUCGCAGACGUUGCUGUUCUCUGCUCGUCACAUGCAUGUCUGGUUUCUUCUGUGCGAUGUCUGCUGACUUGCCGAGAUCUAAACUAAAGUCCAUGCUUCGAGUGAAAGCUGUGGAGUAUUUCACAUUUAAAUCAGAGCAAGUUUGUUGUGCAAACACACCAUGUGUCAGAACUACUGAAUUUCUUGUUUUUUCAUUUCUUUAGCAUUCUUUUUUGUAUAUUGCCAAAUAUUGGGGAACGUCACCAAGUUUAAAUGCAAAUAUUAUGUGGAGCAGAGGUAAAACGCAGCAGGUACACGUUGAGUUUCGGAGCCAGACGGCUUCGGAUCAGAGAAACUGCAGUCAAGCCUCUGUGUUGCAGUGACAUUUGCAUGGUUUUAAAGCACAUACGAUGUUGUUGUUUGUGUGUCUUUUAUUCAGAGUUUUCGUUUGUUAUUCUCCAUUUUCUAUACUCUGAAAUUGAGACUUGCUUUUGAGAUGUUUUCAUGCUUCUUCAUACAUCCAUGUCAGACACUGACUGGUGCACAUUUUUAAUAAAUAAAAAAAAGGGUGAGGCUAAAUGUCACACUGAUGCUGGAGUCAUUUUUGAUGUUUUAAUGCUUCAUAGUACUUCUGAUUUAGUUUGCAGUGUCUUUUCUCAAAACCUGUGAUGUUGUUUUCAGGAUUUUUGUGUGGGGAAACCCCACCAAUGAUUAUUUAUUUGUUUAGUCCAGUAUGCCUAGCCUACUAUUAGCCAUAAAUAUUUUAAUGCAUUCAUUUUCUGUAACAACACGGUAAGAACAAUUGAUUUUUUCUUUCUUUACGAACUUUAAUUGAAAAUGUCUAUGACCAA
ensembl:lncRNA